UUUAAAAAAAAAACUUAAGUUUUCUCUCUGAAAGAGAGAGAGAGGAAGGGAACUCCGGCCCUGGCCUCCGUCGGCCACACUCCGGUCACGCGCCCACGCACCACCCUAAGGACCACCAUACACGGUGGCUAGGGUUUGAAAAACCCUUCCUUUCGCUCGUCGUUCGUCAGGUAACUUCCUUUCUUUUAUUUUUGUAAUCUAUAUUUUUGCUAAAACAGUUUAUAUACAUGUAUAUGUUACAAAAAUAAAAAACAAUUUCUGAAACUGUUUGUAUCUCUCUGAAUAAGUAUCUGUAAGUAUGUAUUUCUAUGCUCUUCAAGAAUCUGUUUGUUUACAAUGGUUUGAUUCGGGCUUUUAUAGCCACUGUUUAUUACAAAAAUUUAGGAAAUAAAUCUUUUUAUAUCUUUCCAUAUUUGCUUUGCUUGUUGCUGUGGUUCUUUCCCUCUUUUGCAAGUGCUUGCGGAAAAUCCGGUGAUGGAAAGAUCGACGGCGUUGAUAGAGGCCUGAAGUCUGGCGGUGGUGUCAGUGAGGCGCUGAUUACGGAGGCAGAGCCUUGAGUGAUGGCCUCGAUUGGGGAGCUGGACAGACGCUCCCCGAACUUUCCAGAAGCAGUUGCGGCGCGAGGGAAAAGAGCUAGGGUUAGAAACCUUAGCUGGAAAUUUUUGGUUCUGGGCCUAGUUCAUUUUGGGCCGUUGUAUUAGGUCAAAGGUAGGCUUAGAAAUGGGAUUGUAAUGUAGUGGGUUGAGUGUGCCGGGUAAUGUUAUAAUUGGGCCUCGGGUGUAAUGGGUUUAUGGGGCAUAAUUUGGGCUGUAAAAGGACUGUUUUGGGUUUUGGGUAGCAACAGUGGGUCAAUGUAAAUGGACUGUUUAAAAACAAUUAUUUAUUUAUUUAUUUUCUUAAUUUUAAACCCCAGGAAAAUUUUGGU
rnacentral:lncRNA from 1 species